UAAAAAUGGGGUGGUAUGCAUGAACUUAAUUACUUCAAAUUCGACUGCGAGUUAGAUAUACUUUGUUUCAUGAUUGGGAUUGAAUGUCUUUAUGCCCCAAAAAUGAUAGAUGUUACCUUAAUGUGAAAGCUAGUUGUUGCUGCCUUAAAGCAUGGAUAGAUAAUUUGAUAUCUUGAGCUUUAAUGACUCUAGUCCCUUUGCAACUGUAACCUGACGUGAUUUUGCAGAUAAAUACUUAAUGAGUUGUGACCACUAUUUGGGGGAUUCAACAAUUAACUUUUUUCUUAGUGCACAUUUUGAUUGGUUGUAGGCUCGAUCUUAACUCUUAUGACAGUUAUAUUUCUUGUGUUAUCUAGCUAGUUGGUUUUGAAGGAGUAGUAGAGUUUGCUGUUUGGAUUUUUGAUUGUGCUGCUGUUCGUUUGUUGCUGAGACCAAAGGGAAUGUUUGUUUAAUGAAAUGGCAUGCCUCAAAUCUGAAUUGCCAAAAUGAUUAAUUUGCAUUAAUGUUUAAUAGGUUAUAAUUAACUUUGAUAGUUAGUAAUUGCCAUGGAAGUAGAUUGAGGAUCAGAUAUUUUCUCUGUUUUUAUUUGAAUUGGAUAGUUAGUAAUUGCCAUGGAAGUAGAUUGAGGAUCAGAUAUUUUCUCUGUUUUUAUUUGAAUUGGAUAGUUAGUAAUUGCCAUGGAAGUAGAUUGAGGAUCAGAUAUUUUCUCUGUUUUUAUUUGAAUUGGAUAGUUAGUAAUUGCCAUGGAAGUAGAUUGAGGAUCAGAUAUUUUCUCUGUUUUUUAUUUGAAUUGGAUGUCAAAUCCUGGAUUUUGGAAAGGGUUUUCAUCAUUAUGGAUUUUUGUCUUGUGAAGCACAAAACAAAAAUGGCAGUACUUGUGAAAUGGGCCUAUGCUUUGAGCAAUUCUCAUUUGAUUAUGUGAGUAUAUACUAGUGUUUAAAGAUACAUACAACU
rnacentral:lncRNA from 1 species